rnacentral:rRNA from 1 species
AGCUCCAAUAGCGUAUAUUAAAGUUGUUGCAGUUAAAAAGCUCGUAGUUGGAUUUGUGGCAGUCGCAUGCGGCCCGGCAUUCGUGUCGGUGUUUGCUCGCGUCGCCAUCCUUGGGUGGAACCUGUGUGGCAUUAGGUUGUCGUGCAGGGGAUGCCCAUCAUUUACUGUGAAAAAAUUAGAGUGUUCAAAGCAGGCUUAUGCCGUUGAAUAUAUUAGCAUGGAAUAAUAAGAUAGGACCUUGGUACUAUUUUGUUGGUUUGCGCACCAAGGUAAUGAUUAAUAGGGACAGUUGGGGGUAUUCGUAUUCCAUUGUCAGAGGUGAAAUUCUUGGAUUUCUGGAAGACGAACUACUGCGAAAGCAUUUACCAAGGAUGUUUUCA